rnacentral:rRNA from 1 species
AGUGAACGCUGGCGGUAGGCCUAACACAUGCAAGUCGAACGGCAGCACAGUAAGAGCUUGCUCUUACGGGUGGCGAGUGGCGGACGGGUGAGGAAUACAUCGGAAUCUACUUUUUCGUGGGGGAUAACGUAGGGAAACUUACGCUAAUACCGCAUACGACCUACGGGUGAAAGCAGGGGAUCUUCGGACCUUGCGCGAUUGAAUGAGCCGAUGUCGGAUUAGCUAGUUGGCGGGGUAAAGGCCCACCAAGGCGACGAUCCGUAGCUGGUCUGAGAGGAUGAUCAGCCACACUGGAACUGAGACACAGUCCAGACUCCUACGGGAGGCAGCAGUGGGGAAUAUUGGACAAUGGGCGAAAGCCUGAUCCAGCCAUACCGCGUGGGUGAAGAAGGCCUUCGGGUUGUAAAGCCCUUUUGUUGGGAAAGAAAAGCAGCAGGUUAAUACCCCGCUGUUCUGACGGUACCCAAAGAAUAAGCACCGGCUAACUUCGUG